UGGCUCAGACAGUAAAAGCAUCUGCCUACAAUGCAGGAGACCCAGGUUCAAUACCUGG
rnacentral:tRNA from 1 species